rfam:Picea glauca, whole genome shotgun sequence.
UCUUGUGUACAUGCCUACAACAUAGUGUUAAUGCACCGGAUCCCAUUCGAACUCCGCAAUUAAGCGCGCUCGGGCUAGAGUAGUACUAGGAUGGGUGAACACCUGGGAAUUCCUAGUGUUUUACAUGCC